rnacentral:rRNA from 1 species
UAGGGAAUCUUCCACAAUGGACGCAAGUCUGAUGGAGCAACGCCGCGUGAGUGAAGAAGGUCUUCGGAUCGUAAAACUCUGUUGUUAGAGAGGAACACGAGUGAGAGUAACUGUUCAUUCGAUGACGGUAUCUAACCAGCAAGUCACGGCUAACUACGUCCCAG